CUGGUGCCAGCAGCCGCGUAAUUCCAACUCCAAUAGCGUAUAUUAAAGUUGUUGCAGUUAAAAGCUCGUAGUUGAAUUUCGGGGUCAGUAGAUUGGUCAUGCCUCCGGUAUGUACUGGUCUUACUGGCUCCUCCUUCCUGAUGAACCGUAAUGCCAUUAAUUUGGUGUUGCGGGGAGACUGGACUGUUACUUUGAAAAAAUUAGAGUGUUUAAAGCAGGCUAACGCUUGAAUACAUUAGCAUGGAAUAAUGAAAUAGGACGUUCGAUCCUAUUUUAGUUGGUUUCUAGGGAUUGACGUAAUGAUUAAUAGGGAUAUUGGGGGGCAUUAGUAUUCAAUUGUCAGAGGUGAAAUUCUUGGAUUUAUUGAAGACUAACUACUGCGAAAGCAUUUGCCAAGGAUGUUUUCAUUAAUCAAGAACGAAAGUUAGGGGGAUCGAAGACGAUCAGAUACCGUCGUAGUCUUAACCAUAAACUAUGCCGAUUAGGGAUCGGAUGAUGUUAAUUUUUUAAUGACUCAUUCGGCGCCUUACG
rnacentral:rRNA from 1 species